rnacentral:rRNA from 1 species
GAUGAACGCUGACAGAAUGCUUAACACAUGCAAGUCGACUCGAGUCUUCGGACUUGGGUGGCGCACGGGUGAGUAACGCGUAAAGAACUUGCCUCUUAGACCGGGACAACAUCUGGAAACGGAUGCUAAUACCGGAUAUUAUGGUUUUUUCGCGUGGAGGAAUCAUGAAAGCUAGAUGCGCUAAGAGAGAGCUUUGCGUCCCAUUAGCUGGUUGGUGAGGUAACGGCCCACCAAGGCAAUGAUGGGUAGCCGGCCUGAGAGGGUGAACGGCCACAAGGGGACUGAGACACGGCCCUUACUCCUACGGGAGGCAGCAGUGGGGAAUAUUGGACAAUGGACCGCAAGUCUGAUCCAGCAAUUCUGUGUGCACGAUGACGUUUUUCGGAAUGUAAAGUGCUUUCAGUCGGGAAGAAGUCAGUGACGGUACCGACAGAAGAAGCGACGGCUAAAUACGUGCCAGCAGCCGCGGUAAUACGUAUGUCGCAAGCGUUAUCCGGAUUUAUUGGGCGUAAAGCGCGUCUAGGCGGCAAGGAUAGUCUGAUGUGAAAAUGCGGAGCUCAACUCCGUAUGGCGUUGGAAACUGCCUUACUAGAGUACUGGAGAGGUAGGCGGAACUACAAGUGUAGAGGUGAAAUUCGUAGAUAUUGGUAGGAAUGCCGAUGGGGGAAGCCAGCCUACUGGACAGAUACUUGACGCUAAAGCGCGAAAAGCGUUGGUUAGCAAACAGG